AUUGCUGCAGCAAUGAAGUGUUCGGUUAAUUUGUCAACAUGGAUUGUAAUUAUGUUCGCCGUCUUAUCGGUGUGCGGCAUCACUCUUGCAGAAUUUUGUGUUGUGGCUGAAAAUUGUAUUCAAGCUUGCAGAAGAAUAUGUCCCUACUCUGCGUAUUCGAUGUGCCACAACUCACAAUGCUACUGCCAAGCUGUGUCAAGAUUAGUAGGAUAGAACAAGCAGUACCAAAUAAUAUUAAUAAAACUCCUUUCAUUUCA